AUUGAAUUAGUUUAUAUAAAAUUCCAGGAUGUGGGCUUGGAGAAGAAGCGGGGUCUUCAUUCAAUA
rnacentral:tRNA from 1 species